AAUACUGGACAUGGGGCGAAAGCCUGAUCCAGCCAUGCCGCGUGUGUGCAGAAGGUCUUCGGAUUGUAAAGCUCUUUAUGUUGGGAGGAAGGGCUUUAGGUUAAUACCCUGAAGUCUUGACGUUACCAACAGGACACGCACCGGCUACCUCUGUGCCAGCAGCCGCGGUAAUACAGAGGUUGCAAGCGUUAAUCGGGAUUACUGGGCGUAAAGCGCGCGUAGGUGGUUUGUUAAGUUGGAAGUGAAAGCCCCGGGCUCAACCUGGGAACUGCUUUCAAAACUGGCAAGCUAGAGUACGGUAGAGGGUAGUGGAAUGUCCUGUGUAGCGGUGAAAUGCGUGGAUAUAGGAAGGAACACCAGUGGCGAAGGCGACUACCUGGACUGAUACUGACACUGAGGUGCGAAAGCGUGGGGAGCAAAC
rnacentral:rRNA from 1 species